rnacentral:tRNA from 3 species
GGGUCGGUAGUCUAGUCCGGUUAUGACAGCUCCUUCACACGGAGCAGGUCGGCGGUUCGAAUCCGCCCCGACCCA